UACGGGGGGGAGCAAGCGUUGUUCGGAUUUACUGGGCGUAAAGGGCUCGUAGGCGGCCAACUAAGUCAUACGUGAAAUCCCUCGGCUUAACCGGGGAACUGCGUCUGAUACUGGAUGGCUUGAGUUCGGGAGAGGGAUGCGGAAUUCCAGGUGUAGCGGUGAAAUGCGUAGAUAUCUGGAGGAACACCGGUGGCGAAGGCGGCAUCCUGGACCGAUACUGACGCUGAGGAGCGAAAGCGUGGGGAGCGAACAGG
rnacentral:rRNA from 1 species